AGCAAGCAACAAGAAGAGAUGGCCACGCAUAGGAAUACAUGGCCACCUGGAAAAUGCUAUAAUAAAAAUUGCUGAUUCUUCUAUGGUGGCUGAGGCAGAAUUUCUGGUGUCCAGUUUCAGAAAAGGACCAAUAUUUUUUAAUACAUGCUGCAUAAACUGGUUAUAUAAAGCAAGGCACGAGGCCGGAGGGCUCCCACUCCAAUUUGACAACACCAUCUCGUCUUCACACCACCUGUCACAUCUAUCAACAUUUUAACUAAUGUCAGAGUUCUUCUUUUGCUAAUGAGCUGCUAUCCAGGGAAGCACAUCUCUGCUCAGACUGCCAGCUACAGCAUAAUGAGCUAGAGUGAGAGGCAUCAUCUUCCUCCCAGAAGCCUCUCACUGCUGUAGAAGACCAUCGCUGCUCUUCUCUUCUGUUACAGACCCAAAUUUAGUCAUUUGAGGCCCUUCUAGGUGUGUUUUGCUUUGACAUAAUUAAAAAAAAUAAAAAACUUUCCUGCA